rnacentral:rRNA from 1 species
GACGAACGCUGGCGGCGUGCUUAACACAUGCAAGUCGAGCGGUAAGGCCCUUUCGGGGGUACGACGAGCGGCGAACGGGUGAGUAACACGUGGGUGGACCUGCCCUCAGCUCUGGGAUAAGCCUGGGAAACCGGGUACUAAUACCGGAUAUGACUCCAUGACGCAUGUUGUGGGGUGGAAAGCCUUGUGCGGCUGAGGAUGGGCCCGCGGCCUAUCAGCUUGUUGGUGGGGUGAUGGCCUACCAAGGCGACGACGGGUAGCCGGCCUGAGAGGGCGACCGGCCACACUGGGACUGAGACACGGCCCAGACUCCUA